CGGUGAAUACGUUCCCGGACCUUGCACACACCGCCCGUCAAGCCAUGGAAGCUGGGUGUACCUAAAGUCGGUAACCGCAAGGAGCCGCCUAGGGUAAAACUAGUAACUGGGGCUAAGUCGUAACAAGGUACCC
rnacentral:rRNA from 1 species